AAAAUUUAAAAUUAAGAUACUAAAAUAGUAGAUAAAUAUUUAUUUAAACUUAAAUAAUUUGGCGGUAUUUUAGUUCAUUUAGAGGAAUCUGUUUAAUAAUUGAUAUUCCACGAAUAAAUUUACUUAAUUUAUUAUUUUGUAUAUCGUUGUUAUAAAAAUAUUUUUUAAUAAUAAUUAAUAUUUAAAAAUUAAUAUGUAAAUUUAAAUCAGAUCAAGAUGCAGAUUAUAAUUAAGAAUAUAAUGGAUUACAAUAAAUUUAUUUAAAUGAAUAUUAAUUUGUAAAAAUUAAUUUAAAGUGGAUUUAAAUGUAAUUUUAUUUAAUUUAAUAAAAUGAUUAAAAAUUAAAAUAUGU
rnacentral:rRNA from 2 species